GUCCACGCCGUAAACGGUGGGCACUAGGUGUGGGGGCCAUUCCACGGUCUCUGUGCCGCAGCUAACGCAUUAAGUGCCCCGCCUGGGGAGUACGGCCGCAAGGCUAAAACUCAAAGGAAUUGACGGGGGCCCCGCACAAGCGGCGGAGCAUGUUGAUUAAUUCGAUGCAACGCGAAGAACCUUACCUGGGUUUGACAUGCGCCAGACGCAAUCAGAGAUGGUUGUUCCCUUGUGGUUGGUGUGCAGGUGGUGCAUGGCUGUCGU
rnacentral:rRNA from 1 species